AUUGAACGCUGGCAGCAUGCUUUACACAUGCAAGUCGAACGGCAGCGCGGGCUUCGGCCUGGCGGCGAGUGGCGAACGGGUGAGUAAUGCAUCGGAACGUGCCCAGUAGUGGGGGAUAGCCCGGCGAAAGCCGGAUUAAUACCGCAUACGACCUGAGGGUGAAAGCGGGGGACCGAAAGGCCUCGCGCUAUUGGAGCGGCCGAUGUCGGAUUAGCUAGUUGGUGGGGUAAAGGCUUACCAAGGCGACGAUCCGUAGCUGGUCUGAGAGGACGACCAGCCACACUGGGAAUGAGACACGGCCCAGACUCCUACGGGAGGCAGCAGUGGGGAAUUUUGGACAAUGGGGGCAACCCUGAUCCAGCCAUGCCGCGUGCGGGAAGAAGGCCUUCGGGUUGUAAACCGCUUUUGUUCGGGAAGAAAUCCUCUGGGCUAAUACCCCGGGGGGAUGACGGUACCGGAAGAAUAAGCACCGGCUAACUACGUG
rnacentral:rRNA from 1 species